rnacentral:rRNA from 1 species
CUCAUGGUUUCACGGUAUUGCAAUGAGAACAAUUUAAAACCCUUAGCGAGAAUCAAGUGGAGGACAAGUCUGGUGCCAGCACCCGCGGUAAUUCCAGCUCCACUAGCGUAUAUUAAAGUUGUUGCAGUUAAAAAGCUCGUAGUUGAACCUCUGUCUGGGGCUAGUUUUGGCUUUGGUCAGGCUAGUUCUAGGCAUCCGCCUACAAGACUUAGAGGGCAUUCAGUUGUUCACUAGGAGGAGUAGGCAUUUUACUUUGAAAAAAUUAGAGUGUUUAAGGCAGGCAAUCGCCCGCAUAUAUUAGCAUGGAAUAAUAGAAUAGGACACUUUUCCAUUUCGUUGGUUAUUGGAAUCGUGUAAUGAUUAAUAGGGACAGUUGUGGGCAUUUGUAUUUAAUUGUCAGAGGUGAAAUUCUUGGAUUUAUUAAAGACAAACUAACGCGAAAGCAUUUGCCAAGGAUGUUUUCAUUAAUCAAGAACGAAAGUUAGGGGUUCAAAGACGAUCAGAUACCGUCCUAGUCUUAACUAUAAACUAUUCCGACUCAAUGUUUGACUGGCUUAUAUAACCAGUUGAGCGUUGUAUGAGAAAUCAAAGUCUUUAGGUUCUGGGGGGAGUAUGGUUGCAAAGCUGAAACUUAAAGGAAUUGACGGAAGAGCACAACCAGGAGUGGAUUCUGCGGCUUAAUUUGACUCAACACGGGGAAACUUACCAGGUUAAAACAAUAGUGGGAUUGACAGUUUGAGAGCGCUUUCCUGAUUGGUUGGGUGGUGGUGCAUGGCCGCUCUUAGUUGGUGGAGUGAUUUGUCUGCUUAAUUGCGUUAACGAACGAGACCUUAACCUGCUUACUAGACUGGCGAUCAUCAAUCGUUAGCUCUUCUUAGAGGGACUUUGGUUGUUUUAACUCCAAGGAAGUUUGAGGCAAUAACAGGUCUGUGAUGCCCUUAGAUAUCCUGGGCCGCACGCGUCAUACAAUGACUAGUUCAGAAAGUUUUCUCCUGACCCGAAAGGGGAUGGGUAAUCUUGAUAAUACUAGUCGUGUUAGGGAUCGAUCUUUGCAAUUAUAGAUCUUGAACGAGGAAUUCCUAGUAAGUGCGGUUCAUCAGACCGUACUGAUUACGUCCCUGCUCUUUGUACACACCGCCCGUCGCUUCUACCGAGUGGGUGGUCCGGUGAGAUAAUUGAACUUCGCAGGUAACUGAGAGGAAAGAUUAUCAAACCUAUCCACCU